CAUGGCUCAGGAUGAACGCUGGCGGCGUGCUUAACACAUGCAAGUCGAACGAAGCACUUAAUGAGAUUUCUUCGGAUUGAUUAUUUUGUGACUGAGUGGCGGACGGGUGAGUAACCGCGUGGGGUAACCCUGCCCCCAGACCGGGGGAUAACAGUCGGAAACGACUGCUAAUACCGCAUAAGCGCACAGUGCCGCAUGGCACGGUGUGAAAAAACUCCGGUGGUCUGGGAUGGACCCGCGUCCGAUUAGUUAGUUGGUGGGGUAACGGCCCACCAAGACUGCGAUCGGUAGCCGACCUGAGAGGGUGACCGGCCACAUUGGGACUGAGACACGGCCCAGACUCCUACGGGAGGCAGCAGUGGGGAAUAUUGCACAAUGGAGGAAACUCUGAUGCAGCGACGCCGCGUGAGCGAAGAAGUAUUUCGGUAUGUAAAGCUCUGUCAGCAGGGAAGAUAAUGACGGUACCUGACCAAGAAGCCCCGGCUAACUACGUG
rnacentral:rRNA from 1 species